UCAUUGGAUUACUAGCCAUUCCUCUUCGGCAUUAUCUUGGCUGAGCAGCUCGACGACGUAGAAGAAACAGCUGAGUCAAGGAGCAAUGGUGCAACAACUUUGCCGGAUAGAACCACGUUGGUUGCAACAUGAUCGAUAACCAAGGACUUUUCAUCUCACCACUGCAGUGUAGCUGCUUCGGCUGUAACAAUUUGCGGAAAUUAGCCAAGGUGUUUUAUGGUCAUCACCAUCGACUCACCCUCUGUCCACUAUUACACUCAUCGGAUAAAGGAGCCGUGGCACUGCGAAGUGGAUUGUUGUCCGGCAACGUGGAAAUGUUUACUUUUUCUUCGGUUUGCUUUUCCAACACUCUGUACCGAACGAUGAGCUGCCUUUGGGGGCUUUUUAAUUGAGGUCUAAGCUGUAAUUAAGCAGCUCGGCCUUUUGCCAUGUGCUCUAAUUCUAUUUUUGCAGUUUAAUGAAGUCCUUGGCUGCAGGACGUUCCUCUGUCCGUCGCUUCUUUCGUCCUUUCGUUACCUGUCACCUGGGCAAAUUGGUUGGCAUUAUUCAUUCACUGUCCUUUAAAGCUCUGGCUAAGGCCAGAUCUGGCCUGCCACCCAGCCGUUGUUCUGACCCGGCUUAAAUGCCAAUAUAUCACUGGCUAACAACGCUGGUUUCCGUCUGCAGGAUUUUAGCUCAAACGGGGCUAAUAUACAGUUUUGGAUGAAGAAAUACAUAAUGCAAACAUACAUAUUUUUAACAUUUUUUGGUUGCUGAGAAAUAUGUAUUAUAAUUAUGAUUAAAAAUGUUUUUGUUGAAU
rnacentral:lncRNA from 1 species